CGUCCGUCGUUAGCUUUUACAAAAAUCUUCUACUCUGAAACUACUGGGCCAAUUUUUACCAAAUUUGGCCACAAUCAUUAUUAGGGUAUCUAGUUUAAAAAUUGUGUCCGGUGACCCGGCCAACCAACCAAGAUGGCCGCCAUGGCUAAAAAUAGAACAUAGGGAUAAAAUGCAGUUUUUGGCUUAUCACUCAAAAACCAAAGCAUUUAGAGCAAAUCUGACAUGGGGUAAAAUUGUUAAUCAGGUCAAGAUCUAUCUGCCCUGAUAUUUUGAGAUGAAUCAGACAACCCGUUGAUAGGUUGCUGCCCCUGAAUUGGUAAUUUUAAGGAAAUUUUGCUGUUUUUGGUUAUUAUCUUGAAUAUUAUCAUAGAUAGAGAUAAACUGUAAACAGCAAAAAUGUUCAGUAAAGUAAGAUCUACAAAUAAGUCAACAGGACCAAAAUGGUCUGUUGACCCCUUUAGGAGUUAUUGCCCUUAAUAGUCAAUUUUUUAACCAUUUUUCGUAAAUCUUAGUCAUCUUUUACAAAAAUCUUCUCCUCUGAAACUACAAGGUCAAAUUAAACCAAACUUGACCACAAUCAUCAUUGGGGUAUCUUGUUAAAAAAUUGUGUCCGGUGACCUGGCCAACCAACCAAGAUGGCCGCCAUGGCUAAAAAUAGAACAUAGGGGUAAAAUGCAGUUUUUGGCUUAUUACUCAAAAACCAAAGCAUUUAGAGCAGAUCUGACCUGGUAAAAUUGUUUAUCAGGUUAAGAUCUAUCUGCCCUGAAAUUUUGAGAUGAAUUGGACAACCUGUUGAUAGGUUGCUGCCCCUGAAUUGGUAAUUUUAAGGACAUUUUGCUGUUUUUGGUUAUUAUCUUGAAUAUUAUUAUAGAUAGAGAUAAACUGUAAACAGCAAAAAUGUUCAGCAAAGUAAGAUCUACAAAUAAGUCAACAAAACCAAAAUGGUCUGUUGAUUUCUUUAGGAGUUAUUGCCCUUUAUAGUCAAUUUUUAACCAUUUUUCGUAAAUCUUAGUUAUCUUUUACAAAAAUCCUCUCCUCUGAAACUACUGGGCC
rnacentral:lncRNA from 1 species